rnacentral:rRNA from 1 species
AAGCACGGCCACACCGCCUGGUUCACGCCCGAUCUCGUUUGAUCUCGGAAGCUAAGAUAGGUUUGGGCCUGGUUAUACUUGGAUGGGAGACCGCCUGGGAAUACCAGGUGCUGUAGCUUU